rnacentral:rRNA from 1 species
GAUGAACGCUGGCGGCGUGCCUAAUACAUGCAAGUCGAGCGAACGGACGAGAAGCUUGCUUCUCUGAUGUUAGCGGCGGACGGGUGAGUAACACGUGGAUAACCUACCUAUAAGACUGGGAUAACUUCGGGAAACCGGAGCUAAUACCGGAUGAUAUUUUGAACCGCAUGGUUCAAAAGUGAAAGACGGUCUUGCUGUCACUUAUAGAUGGAUCCGCGCUGCAUUAGCUAGUUGGUAAGGUAACGACUUACCAAGGCAACGAUGCAUAGCCGACCUGAGAGGGUGAUCGGCCACACUGGAACUGAGACACGGUCCAGACUCCUACGGGAGGCAGCAGUAGGGAAUCUUCCGCAAUGGGCGAAAGCCUGACGGAGCAACGCCGCGUGAGUGAUGAAGGUCUUCGGAUCGUAAAACUCUGUUAUUAGGGAAGAACAUAUGUGUAAGUAACUGUGCACAUCUUGACGGUACCUAAUCAGAAAGCCACGGCUAACUAGGUG